AGCGAAAGCGAGUCCGAAUAGGGCGUUCAGUUGCUGGGUGUAGACCCGAAACCAAGUGAUCUAUCCAUGGCCAGGAUGAAGGUGCCGUAACAGGUACUGGAGGUCCGAACCCACAAAUGUUGAAAAAUUUGGGGAUGAGCUGUGGAUAGGGGUGAAAGGCUAAACAAACUUGGAGAUAGCUGGUUCUCUCCGAAAACUAUUUAGGUAGUGCCU
rnacentral:rRNA from 14 species